rnacentral:rRNA from 1 species
GUAGGGAAUAUUGCACAAUGGAGGAAACUCUGAUGCAGCGACGCCGCGUGAGUGAUGAAGGCCUUCGGGUCGUAAAACUCUGUGAUAAGGGAAGAUGAUGACGGUACCUUAUCAGAAAAGACCGGCUAACUUCGUGCCAGCAGCCGCGGUAAUACGAGGGGUCUAAGCGUUGUUCGGAAUCACUGGGCGUAAAGCGGGUGUAGGUGGCUAUGCAAGUUGGAUGUGAAAGCCCCGGGCUCAAACCGGGAAGUGCAUCCAAAACUACGUAGCUUGAGUGAGGGAGAGAAAGGCAGAAUUCCUGGUGUAGUGGUGAAAUACGUAGAUAUCAGGAGGAACUCCGGUGGCGAAGGCGGCCUUUUGGCCCAGCACUGACACUCAGACCCGAAAGCGUGGGUAGCAAACAGGAUUAGAAACCCGUGUAGUCC